UUUAAAGGAUAAANGUAAUCCACUGGUCUU
rnacentral:tRNA from 1 species